rnacentral:rRNA from 1 species
AUUGAACGCUGGCGGCAUGCUUUACACAUGCAAGUCGGACGAGUGGCGAACGGGUGAGUAAUAUAUGUGAACGUACCGAGUAAUGGGGGAUAACCAAUCGAAAGGUUGGCUAAUACCGCAUAGUAUUGGAGCGGCCCAUAUCUGAUUAGCUAGUUGGUGGGGUAAAGGCCGACCAAGGCGACGAUCAGUAGCGGGUCUGAGAGGAUGAUGAGCCACACUGGGACUGAGACACGGCCCAGACUCCGACGGGAGGCAGCAGUGGGGAAUUUUGGACAAUGGGCGCAAGCCUGAUCCAGCCAUGCCGCGUGUCUGAAGAAGGCCUUCGGGUUGUAAAGGACUUUUAUUGGGGAAGCGGUACCUAAAGAAGAAGCACCGGCUAACUACGUGCCAGCAGCCGCGGUAAUAC